rnacentral:misc_RNA from 1 species
AAGUCGUAACAAGGUCUCCGUAGGUGAACCUGCGGAGGGAUCAUUAACACUAUUUGGCUUGUUCACGCAAGUUCAAAUUUCCACACACAUUGCGAACUUGUUGGUUUCUCUUCUCGUCAAACAGAAGAGAGACUGACCUAACAAAACUGUCUCGAGGGUAAGGUUGCCGACGCGACGCAGUGAACGACCCUGCAUUCUUUUUGGAGUGUAGGAUUCGUAGCUCCGCUUCCGUCCCUCGACGUGGUUCAUUUUGGGAGAUAUCACACUGCAAGAUAUCUCGGCCCCCUUUGCCAUCACCUUUAAACCAAUCGACUAAUUUUCAAAAGAUUAACGGAAACGUUUGAUCUUUUUAAAUAUCUAAAACUAAGCACAACUCUUAGCAACGGAUAUCUUGGUUCUC